AGUGGCAAACGGCUGAGUAACGCGUAACCAACCUGUCCCGUGUGUGGGGGACAACCUCGAGAAAUCGUGGCUAAUACCGCAUAAUAUGGCUCUUCGAAGGGAGGGUCAUCAAAGACUUCGGUCGCAUCGGGAGGGGGUUGCGUUUUAUCAGGUAGUUGGUGAGGUAACGGCUCACCAAGCCUACGACGAAUAGCUGGUCUGAGAGGAUGAUCAGCCAGACGGGGACUGAGACACGGCCCCGACUCCUACGGGAGGCAGCAGCAGGGAAUCUUGCGCAAUGGGCGAAAGCCUGACGCAGCGACGUCGCGUGGGGGAUGAAUGCCUUAGGGUUGUAAACCCCUUUUGUUUGGGACGAAGUUCUGACGGUACCAAACGAAUAAGCCUCGGCUAACUACGUGCCAGCAGCAGCGGUAAUACGUAGGAGGCGAGCGUUGCCCGGAUUUAUUGGGCGUAAAGGGCGCGUAGGCGGCCUGGAAAGUCUUUUGUGAAAUCUCCCGGCUCAACCGGGAGGGGUCAGAGGAAACUACCAGGCUUGAGGGGAGCAGAGGAGAACGGAAUUCCCGGUGUAGCGGUGAAAUGCAUAGAUAUCGGGAGGAACACUUGUGGCGAAGGCGGUUCUCUGGGCUCUUCCUGACGCUGAGGCGCGAAAGCGUGGGGAGCAAACCGGAUUAGAUACCCGGGUAGUCCACGCCGUAAACAAUGGACACUGGGUACA
rnacentral:rRNA from 1 species